UCGGAGUCUGCAACCCGACUCCGUGAAGCUGGAUUCGCUAGUAAUCGCGCAUCAGCCAUGGCGCGGUGAAUACGUUCCCGGGCCUUGUACACACCGCCCGUCAAGCCAUGGAAGCCGGGGGCGCUUGAAGUGCGUUGCCGCAAGGCGCGCCCUAGAGCGAAACCGGUGACUGGGGCUAAGUCGUAACAAGGUAUC
rnacentral:rRNA from 1 species